CUAGUGGUGCAAUCGGGUCCUUACAGAACCAGAAAAUACUGCUGUUGUCGGUGGUAAUAGUAUGCUGGGGGUGCGUGGAUCCAGAGCCUAUCCGGGAAACUCCAGCCACAAGGCAAGGAAUAACCAAGGAAGCGGCGCCAUCCCGCCCUAUGGACACAGAAAAGCCAUUUACACAAAACUCCACAUGCAUAUUCAUGUAAAAGUUAAUUUACUUGCAAUCCAGCCACAUCAAAUAGUUUAAUUGCUUUGUAAAACUUUUUACAAAAUAAAUUACGGCUGGUAAUGCUGUCGAACCAGCCGGUUGCUUUA